CCCUCCUCUCACUCGUCUCUCUCACCUCGUCUCUUCAGAGACGGGUAAACCCUAGUAGCCGCCACCGUUUCUCGUCGCCUUCCGGUGGCGCCGCCGCCGCCUCCCUGUGGCGCCGCCGCCGCCUCGAACCCCUCCCAAAUUAACACCCUGAAACCCCUCAUACUAAAUCCACAAAUAUCUUCCCUCGAAUCACCCUGGAAAUCCUCGAAUCUUAGAUCAGAGACGAACCCUAAAAAUCCCAGGUCAAGUUUUUGGUAAAACUUCGUGUCUAAUCCGAUGUUAUUCGUGUGUCCUUUUGUAAGAACACACGAUUAACAUCAGAUUUGACCGAAAAUCAGAGGAUUUAAAGACCCAGGAUUCCCCCUUUCAUUUUCCGAUUUUCUUUUUAAAGGUAUUUUCCUUCAGACCAAUGUUAUCAAGUGAUGUACUACAAGUUAGAACCAGAUUGAAUCCAUGUAAAAAUCUGAGAAUCUUAGUUGAGAUUUGAAUAAAACACUUGUUAUUGAUGUAUGUGUUGUUGGAUUCUGCUAUCUUGUGUCUUUAAGUUCCUUAGUUUUGCAACAUUAUAGUCUUCUCGAGUAUGUUGAUCCGUUUAUUCAUGUUUAGUGGUUUAAGGCUGAUUGUUUAUUUAGAAUAAGUUUUGGAUUCAGAACAUUGGCAUUGUAAUAAUAAAUGAAAACUAAUGUAUGAAUGGACUGUUAGACAUGCUGCAAGGAAAGAUCUCUUGAGCAUAUCA